CCAUCAUGUAAUGGGCCCAGAAAAGAAAUAAAGGCCAGUCACAAAAGGGGCAUUUCUCCUCUUGAGAGAAAAGCCAUGCUGUCCCUUUUCCUCCACAGGACUCAGUAGUCCCUGUGCAUUUCUUGUGCCUCAUCCACACUGUGGUGGACCCCAUGAGCCAGGGUCCACAUCA